rnacentral:rRNA from 1 species
GCCUGCGCCCUGCCCUUAUUUUGGCAGACGUAAGUCUGCCUCCUUCUCAAGGUUGACCUCGGAUCAGGUAGGACUACCCGCUGAACUUAAGCAUAUCAAUAAGCGGAGGAAAAGAAACCAACAGGGAUUGCCCCAGUAACGGCGAGUGAAGCGGCAACAGCUCAGAUUUGGAAUCUGGCCCCUAGGGCCCGAGUUGUAAUCUGGAGAGGAUGUUUCUGGCGCGGCGCCUUCCGAGUUCCCUGGAACGGGACGCCGGAGAGGGUGAGAGCCCCGUACGG